UAGGUUUAGGCAAACAACUGCUUGCUUUAGGCAACAAAACUACAACUUCUUUAGGUUUAGGCAAAAAAAAAAAACAUAGUUAAGUACAGGGAAAAACACCUUGUUUUGGGUUAAAAUAACCUCACACUGACUAUACAACAGCGCCUGCCUUCCACUUCUGCCCCUGUCAUAAUUACUACGGUCACUGUCAUGUUCUUUUGUAUCUUCUUUCGGUGAUUUACCAUGUGACUAGAUAAUAAAACCUACUAGUGGGUGUAGUAGGCCCCUAUUCACCCACAUCUAUGGGGCUUAUAGCGACUGAUAACGCCUACUUAAUAGCCUGACAGCAGUCUAACUGGACAGCUAUCUAAAAGAUAACAGGGAGGUAAAGGUUACCAAAAAAUAAUCCUUCAUAUGAGUGUCUCUGUUCCUUAAUGUCUCGCUGUUCUUUCAGCUUUACCGUUCAAAAAGAGUCACAGUUGAUAUGAAAAACCUGAAAGUCACUGUCACGUCAUUUCUGGCACAUCAUUGCUUGAAUUUUUGUUCACCAGUUUCUCAUUUUUACAAAGAAAAUACAGUAUCACAAUGAAGUGUGUAACUUUUUAAUCAAGUGACAGUCAGAGAAACCUGGCUCAUUUGCAAAAGCACUGCUACAUUCUCAAUUGUAAAUAUGAUUAGUUCUAUUUUUAGUUUGGAUUCCCUCUUGGAGAACUAAUGAUUUGCAUCAUUUUUAAUUUCAAUGUUAUCAAUAAAUUGACCUGUAACUACUGA